rnacentral:tRNA from 1 species
AAUUAAUGAGCUUGUAAAUAAGCAUUUGUUUUGAAAACUUAAAAAAGAAUUAAAUAUUCUAUUAAUUU